UACAGAGGUCCCGAGCGUUGUUCGGAUUCACUGGGCGUAAAGGGUGCGUAGGUGGUGAGGUAAGUCGGAUGUGAAAUCUCCAGGCUCAACCUGGAGGGGUCAUUCGAUACUGCCGUGACUAGAGGUCGGUAGGGGAGUGUGGAAUUCCUGGUGGAGCGGUGAAAUGCGCAGAUAUCAGGAGGAACACCCGUAGCGAAGGCGGCACUCUGGGCCGAUUCUGACACUGAGGAGCGAAAGCGUGGGGAGCGAACAGG
rnacentral:rRNA from 1 species